GAGGGGCGGAUGCUGGCCAGGAUAGCGAGCUCCUUGGUCAAGCAGCUAGAAACAUGGUGAUGCAAGAGGAUUCGAUACUACAUUCUGAGGAUAGCCUGCGAAAGAUGGCCAUUAUUACAACACAUCUGCAGUACCAGCAGGAAGCUAUACAGAAAAAUGUCGAACUUUCUACAAAUCUUCAAGACCAGCUGAAGCAUCUGUUAAAAUGAGAUGAAAGUUGGCAUGAAGGUGAAUACCCGGAGCUGAAGCCCGUUCGUGGAAUAUGAUGGGUGGAGGGAAGGAAAUUGUUUGAUCUACCAUCCGCAAGAAGCAUGUUCUUAAGCAAACCAUUCAGCUUUUAUGUGCAACCUUCAGAACCUCUUCCAAGUGCUCCUUUGACUUACUGCUGAUGAAGAACACAGUGACAUCUGCUCAGGUCGGAUACAUAGUGCACCUGUCAUGUGUGAACAAAUUGGCUUUGUAUGUAUAUAGACUAUUAACAGCGGUAUUGACUGUAGUCCUUUACAUUGUUAUGAUGCUUUAGGGGAGGGGGAGACGAUAUGGGGGAAUUCUCUACCUUAUGCAGAAUCUAGCAGUGCUGCCACUGCAAUGCAGCUUUUAAAAGUUAUUAUGUAUGCAGUACUGAUAUGAACUUCUAGAUUAUUAAUAGUUGAAUGCACCAUUAAAGGUAGAGGAUUGACAUGUUCCAGGAAAACAAUCCAGACAAUAAUGCUGCUGUAUCUAAUAUUUGAUUCUUAGAAAUGUAAUAUCAGUGCACCAAUACAUUAAAAUGUUUUCAUGAAUAGUGAUAGAAUUAAAUGCUUUGCAUAUGUUCUCAUUGCUUCAUGGGUUAAACAUCAAUGGUGCACCGUUAAUAUACUUGGUUAAAUUACCAUCGGGAAAAUAAAUAUUUAGAAGUUCAUUCAUCAGUGAUUUAUAGGUGUUUAUUUUAAACUGAAAACGUAAAAUGUAUUUCAUUUCGAAUUGAACAACUCUAUUAACAUUUCAAACAGACUUUCAGAGCCCCUCAAAUUAAUAUUGUAUAAGGGUCACUGCUAAAUUAUAUUUGUCAGUGGAAGUUGCGUUAACAUUUUGUUACAUCCUCCAAUGUAAGGGUGAUCUCAGCUCUUUGAGAAUUAUUGACAGCUUGUUUUUGUAGUUAUUGCUGCCUCAAUCUUCAUUCUCCAAUGUUGAUUAGGUCUAUGCUGCUCCUCUGUAUAUGCAAACAGCCUCAUUCUGCAUACUAGUGUUGGGCUUAUCCAGGUGUGAAAACAUGUAAUAGGUACCAAGUUAACAUGCAGGCUUAAUGUAUGGUAGCAGAACCUGCUGUAUAAUAUUUGUAAUCAUUCACUGUGAUGUUAAAAUGUAUAUCUGAAUUUUUUUACUUGUUACAAAGCUGAGUUUAAUAAGUACAGUUGAAUUAUUAAAGCAAAUGUGUAAUGUGA